UAUACAUGCAGUCGAGCGAACGGACGAGAAGCUUGCUUCUCUGAUGUUAGCGGCGGACGGGUGAGUAACACGUGGAUAACCUACCUAUAAGACUGGGAUAACUUCGGGAAACCGGAGCUAAUACCGGAUAAUAUUUUGAACCGCAUGGUUCAAAAGUGAAAGACGGUCUUGCUGUCACUUAUAGAUGGAUCCGCGCUGCAUUAGCUAGUUGGUAAGGUAACGGCUUACCAAGGCAACGAUGCAUAGCCGACCUGAGAGGGUGAUCGGCCACACUGGAACUGAGACACGGUCCAGACUCCUACGGGAGGCAGCAGUAGGGAAUCUUCCGCAAUGGGCGAAAGCCUGACGGAGCAACGCCGCGUGAGUGAUGAAGGUCUUCGGAUCGUAAAACUCUGUUAUUAGGGAAGAACAUAUGUGUAAGUAACUGUGCACAUCUUGACGGUACCUAAUCAGAAAGCCACGGCUAACUACGUGCCAGCAGCCGCGGUAAUACGUAGGUGGCAAGCGUUAUCCGGAAUUAUUGGGCGUAAAGCGCGCGUAGGCGGUUUUUUAAGUCUGAUGUGAAAGCCCACGGCUCAACCGUGGAGGGUCAUUGGAAACUGGAAAACUUGAGUGCAGAAGAGGAAAGUGGAAUUCCAUGUGUAGCGGUGAAAUGCGCAGAGAUAUGGAGGAACACCAGUGGCGAAGGCGACUUUCUGGUCUGUAACUGACGCUGAUGUGCGAAAGCGUGGGGAUCAAACAGGAUUAGAUACCCUGGUAGUCCACGCCGUAAACGAUGAGUGCUAAGUGUUAGGGGGUUUCCGCCCCUUAGUGCUGCAGCUAACGCAUUAAGCACUCCGCCUGGGGAGUACGACCGCAAGGUUGAAACUCAAAGGAAUUGACGGGGACCCGCACCAGCGGUGGAGCAUGUGGUUUAAUUCGAAGCAACGCGAAGAACCUUACCAAAUCUUGACAUCCUUUGACAACUCUAGAGAUAGAGCCUUCCCCUUCGGGGGACAAAGUGACAGGUGGUGCAUGGUUGUCGUCAGCUCGUGUCGUGAGAUGUUGGGUUAAGUCCCGCAACGAGCGCAACCCUUAAGCUUAGUUGCCAUCAUUAAGUUGGGCACUCUAAGUUGACUGCCGGUGACAAACCGGAGGAAGGUGGGGAUGACGUCAAAUCAUCAUGCCCCUUAUGAUUUGGGCUACACACGUGCUACAAUGGACAAUACAAAGGGCAGCGAAACCGCGAGGUCAAGCAAAUCCCAUAAAGUUGUUCUCAGUUCGGAUUGUAGUUUGCAACUCGACUACAUGAAGCUGGAAUCGCUAGUAAUCGUAGAUCAGCAUGCUACGGUGAAUACGUUCCCGGGUCUUGUACACACCGCCCGUCACACCACGAGAGUUUGUAACACCCGAAGCCGGUGGAGUAACCUAUAGGAGCUAGCCGUCGAAGGUGGACCAAA
rnacentral:rRNA from 1 species